CAGUAUUGUGUGCAAGCAACAUACACAGAACACAACAGAGUCAGAGUACAAAAGAACCCUGAUCAAUUCAAAUGUACUUCUGUUGCUGCUGCUGCUGGUGUUGUUGUUGCUUCUGCUGAUCGUUUCGUUAUUUGAUGUGCGUACGUACAUCGCAUCUUUGGCCUGUCAUGGCUGCCUACGUAGUCCCUCCAUCGAAGUGUUUGCCUGCAUAUACAACAACAAUCGUAAUAAUUUGAUUAAAUGUAUUUUGUUACUUGUGU
rnacentral:sRNA from 1 species